rnacentral:rRNA from 1 species
CGCGGUGAAUACGUUCCCGGGUCUUGUACACACCGCCCGUCAAGCCAUGGAAGCUGGGUGUACCUAAAGUCGGUAACCGCAAGGAGCCGCCUAGGGUAAAACUAGUAACUGGGGCU